AUGUGGUUUUCAAGCAUGGAAUUGGGUAUUAGCAAGGAAGAUAAUGGCAUGGUCGAGUACUCUUUUGGCUUAGUUCAAGACUUGGAGAGAAUGAAAUUAUGGAAGAUAGCAAAGAGUUUAAAACGUGGAGGCUUAUCAUGGAAGACUUUGAAGUAUGAAGAGAUAGGCUUUAGGAAAGAUAUAAGAACUUUUUUUGUAAUUAUUUUUGAGUUGUAA